AUGUUCACGAUGCUCAAGUGUCAUUCUUACCUAGUUGUUACGGCUGGUGUCACUUUAUGGUUCGCAUCCCUAUGCCAUGCCAAUACUGCAAUGGAAGAUGCAAUGGUUACCGCCGGAAAAAUGAUCUUGGAAGCGGCACAAAAUGAUUCACUCAAAGUCCCUACACCGGUUGCAAUACCUAACGUAGCACCUGUUGGACCGCAAAUUGCUGGAGCGCCACCUGCUGCAGGCACACCCCCAGCACCUACUGGAGCACCUGCUGGAUCACCUGCCGGAACACCUGCUGAAACAACUGCCGGAACACCUGUGAAAGCACCUGCUGUAGCGCCAGAUGAUGAAAAUCCUGCAUCACCUGAUGUAGCACCUCCAGCACCUGCUAACGGAUCUGCUGCUGGAACACCUGCUGUAGCACCUGAUAAACCACCUGCUGCAGCGCCAGAUGCUAGAAAGCCUGCAUCACCUGAUGUAGCACCUCCAGCACCUGCUAGCGGAUCUGCUGCUGGAACACCUGCUGUAGCCCCCGAUAAACUACCUGCUGCAGCGCCAGAUGCUAGAAAGCCUGCAUCACCUGAUGUAGCACCUCCAGCACCUGCUAACGGAUCUGCUGCUGGAACACCUGCUGUAGCACCUGAUAAACCACCUGCUGCAGCGCCAGAUGCUAGAAAUCCUGCAUUACCUGAUGUAGCACCUCCAGCACCUGCUAACGGAUCUGCUGCUGGAACACCUGCUGUAGCACCUGAUAAACCACCUGCUGCAGCGCCAGAUGCUAGAAAUCCUGCAUUACCUGAUGUAGCACCUCCAGCACCUGCUAACGGAUCUGCUGCUGGAACACCUGCUGUAGCACCUGAUAAACCACCUGCUGCAGCGCCAGAUGCUAGAAAUCCUGCAUUACCUGAUGUAGCACCUCCAGCACCUGCUAACGGAUCUGCUGCUGGAACACCUGCUGUAGCACCUGAUAAACCACCUGCUGCAGCGCCAGAUGCUAGAAAGCCUGCAUCACCUGAUGUAGCACCUCCAGCACCUGCUAACGGAUCUGCUGCUGGAACACCUGCUGCAGCGCCAGCUACUGAAACGCCUGCAUUACCUACUGUAGCACUCCCAGCACCUGCCGAAACACCUGAUCGAGCACCUGCUGUAGCACCUUCACCACCAGGGCCGGGAUCAGUAAUGAACCAAGAAGAAGCGCUUCUAAUGGGAAUUAUGUCAGUUUUAGCACCGCAACCUGCUGUUGCUGCCGCAGCACCUGCCAAUACUGCCGCAGCACCUGCCAAUGCUGCCGCAGCACCUGCCAGUGCUGCCGCAGCACCUGCCAAUGCUGCCGCAGCACCUGCCAAUGCUGCCGCAGCACCUAAUAAUACUGCUGCAGCACCUAAUGAUACUGCCGCUGCACCUGCUAAUAUAAUAACACCUUCUAAUGUAACUAUCGAUAGAGUGCCCGAUAAUACUAUCCAAAACGGAACCUCAGGCCAAAAUCUAGUUAGCGUGCCAUCAGCUGGAAAUAAGACAGCUAGUAACGACUCAAAACAAGCGGAGCCGGAUAGUCCUACGCCACACGCGAGAAACACUAAACAUAGGCACCCACAUCCCACGACUAGUAAAGAUCAAAAAGGAGCCUCCACGCGUGUGACAACUGCCCCAGAUGAGACGACUAAGGGUAACAAACAGACAAAAGCCCCACCAAACGAGGCCACAAAGGCUGAGGUUACUCCAACUGCCUCUGCAAGUAAACAACAAUCAAAAGCACAUUCCACCAAAGCUCACCAUACGGCAGCCGAAGGUUAG
rnacentral:lncRNA from 1 species